GUGGUUUAACUAGAAGAAACGCGAAGAACCUUACCUGAGUAGGUCAUACCAUUGCGAUUUCCUUAUUCUGAGAGUUGUUGUGGGGGGCAGUGGUGGCAGGUUGUGCCUGGUUGUCGUCAGCUCGUGUCGUGAGAUGUUGGGUUAAGUCCCGCAACGAGCGCAACCCUUGUCUUUAGUUUCCAUCAUUAAGUUGGGCACUCUAGAGAGACUGACAGGGAUAUCCUGGAGGAAGGUGGGGAUGACGUCAAAUCAUCAUGCCCCUUAUGCUUAGGGCUACACACGUGCUACAUGGGGUAGUACAGAGGGUUGCAAAGCCGCAAGCAGGAGCUAAUCCCUCAAAGCUACUCGCCGUUCGGAUUGUAGGCUGAACCUCGCCUACAUCAUGCUGGAGUUACUAGUAAUCGCAGAUCAGAAUGCUGCGGUGAAUGCGUUCCCGGGUCUUGUACACA
rnacentral:rRNA from 1 species